rnacentral:tRNA from 3 species
GAGACGUUAGUAAAACAUUACAUAACUUUGUCAAGGUUAAAUUACAGGUGCAAACCCCGUACAUCUCA